rfam:Aedes aegypti strain Liverpool supercont1.56 genomic scaffold, whole genome shotgun sequence.
GGCUCGCUAGCUUAGUUGGUAAAGCGCUCGUCUAGCAUACAAGAGUCCUGGGUUCGAAUCCCAGCCGAGCAU